rnacentral:rRNA from 1 species
AGCGAACGCCGGCGGCAGGCCUAACACAUGCAAGUCGAACGAACUCUUCGGAGUUAGUGGCGGACGGGUGAGUAACACGUGGGAACGUGCCUUUAGGUUCGGAAUAACUCAGGGAAACUUGUGCUAAUACCGAAUGUGCCCUUCGGGGGAAAGAUUCAUCGCCUUUAGAGCGGCCCGCGUCUGAUUAGCUAGUUGGUGGGGUAAUGGCCCACCAAGGCUACGAUCAGUAGCUGGUCUGAGAGGAUGACCAGCCACAUUGGGACUGAGACACGGCCCAAACUCCUACGGGAGGCAGCAGUGGGGAAUCUUGCGCAAUGGGCGAAAGCCUGACGCAGCCAUGCCGCGUGGAUGAUGAAGGUCUUAGGAUUGUAAAAUCCUUUCACCGGUGAAGAUAAUGACUGUAGCCGGAGAAGAAGCCCCGGCUAACUUCGUGCCAGCCGCCGCCGUAAAAC